CAUGAAGGCAGUUCAGUGUGAAAGGAGAUCUGCCUCCAGUGAUCUAACACUCAAACAAUUCCAUGAUGUUUCUUAUGCAAGAGUAAUGUCUCCUCCACCAAAAAAAAAAGAAAAAGUAUAGCUCUAGCUCAUAAUAAAACACAAACAAAUGGCUGAGAUGAGCAUAAUGGCAAUAGCAGCCUUCUGGCUGAAUGUCCCUGGGAAAGGGAAAAUGAGUGGAGAGAUGAUAUUUUACUUCCCUGGAAAGGGCUGCUGGUGGCAGUGUGUGUCAACUAGAGAAGGCAGCAUGCCCAGACUGCUGUUAAGCUGCAGCCUUCAGAUGAAGAAGCACGGCUUGGAACGGGCUUUCUGAACCACGUGAAGGCACUGAGGUGGAAAUAGGAAUCAAAAUGCAGCCUUUUCCCUUGAAAACUGUGGGAGGAUUUCCCCAGGAAAAUAAUGUAGGGCAGUGUCUUUCUAGAAGCCCUGACAUUAGACAGGAGUAUGUCUUUGGGUACAAUGUCUUCUGAAUCAUCUGUGUGUGGGGGUGCAUGUUCCCUGAGUUACACGGGGAACAGCAUUAACAGCAUUAGCACUUUGGGGAAACAGCUGGGCCAGAGCCAUGGGGACUGCUACUGCCAUUUCUGAGGGCUGGUGGUGAAAACACCCCAUUGCAAGUGACGAAAAUACCCCUCCACACAGCCAGGGACUCUGUCCCACUGUGUCAUUCUGCACAGGAGACCCCAAGCCCUGCCUGGCAAUGCAAGCUUUGCCAGCCUGAGCCUGUGGAAUGACUGCAGCACCCUGCCAGACCCCUCAAGGCCAUCACAAUUGCCCAACAGUCAGCUACAAAUGCAGUUUUUGUGUUCUUAUUUCUGAGACAACAGAAACUGUGGAAGAAAGUAGAACUGGAUGAAAGCAGAAGCCUUCUGGAUGAUUCUUGUGAAUUCACAAGAAGCAGAGAUUUGGGAAAAGCUGACCAGGAGAAAAAGCAUGCCCAGCUCUGGAAGGGCUUCUGGCCAUGCUGCCCUUUCGAUUGCACUGAGGAAUGCACUGAAGUCCUACCUGUCCUGGAGAUCCAAGGAACCUCUAGGGAUAUAGCUGAUCAACCUGGCAAUGGAAGGGAAAGCUGUCUGUGCUGCCAUCUGGGAGAGAAGGUAUUGCUACUGUAUCAUGAGCAUCCAUUGUCCCUAGGGCAGUUUUGCAGCCAUUUUGGUUCUGCGGAUGCACAGACCUUG
rnacentral:lncRNA from 12 species